AACAAAGGGAUCCCGAUGGGCCUGGUUGCCAGGCAGUGUAGUUAGCUGAUUGACGAGGCAACAGUCACUAACAACACGGCCAGGUGAAACGGCCUACCUCCCACCUGUUUGGAU
rnacentral:precursor_RNA from 11 species